CGCUGGCGGCACGCCUAACACAUGCAAGUCGAACGCAGUAGCAAUACUGAGUGGCAAACGGGUGAGUAUAACGUGGGAAUCUGCCUUUUGGUUUGGAAUAACACGGGGAAACUUGUGCUAAUACCGGAUAAGCCCUUACGGGGAAAGUUUUAACGCCGAAAGAUGAGCCUGCACUUGAUUAGCUAGUUGGUAAGGUAAAAGCUUACCAAGGCAACGAUCAAUAGCUGUUCUUAGAGGAAGACCAGCCACAUUGGGACUGAGACACG
rnacentral:rRNA from 1 species